GACGAACGCUGGCGGCGUGCCUAAUACAUGCAAGUCGAGCGAAUAACAAGGAGCUUGCUCCUUAUUAUUAGCGGCGGACGGGUGAGUAACACGUGGGCAACCUGCCUAUAAGACUGGGAUAACUUCGGGAAACCGGAGCUAAUACCGGAUACGUUCUUUUCUCGCAUGAGAGAAGAUGGAAAGACGGCAUCUCGCUGUCACUUAUAGAUGGGCCCGCGGCGCAUUAGCUAGUUGGUGAGGUAAUGGCUCACCAAGGCCACGAUGCGUAGCCGACCUGAGAGGGUGAUCGGCCACACUGGGACUGAGACACGGCCCAGACUCCUACGGGAGCAGCAGUAGGGAAUCUU
rnacentral:rRNA from 1 species